rnacentral:tRNA from 1 species
GGGUUGUGGCUCAGUGGUAGAGCAUUCACGUAGCAUGUGCAAGGUGCUGGGUUCAAUCCUCAGCACCCA